GAUACUUUGGCCGAGUGAUUAAGGCAGGCCUGCUACUACAUCUUCGUACUAGCAGUUUAGCCUGUGGGUUCGCUCGCCUGGGUUCGAGUCCCAGAGGUGUCG
rnacentral:tRNA from 1 species